AGUAGAGGAAGGAGGAGAAAACUGGGAAGAAAGAGGAAGAAGCAGCAGACGCAAGGGAAGAAGAAUACCAGAGAGGAGGAGAAGAAAACCAUGGGCAACAAGUCCAGUUAAUUUCCAAUCAUCGGAGCUCUCUCUGGCUGUUUGACACACUGCGACAUCACUACUGCCCUCCUGUUUCUAUGUAUAUGUUUCACACCAUGAUCUGUGCAUAUGCACAUUUCAAUGCAUUUUACAUAUAUUUCCCGAUAUAUCUUCUGUUGUCGAAGCAAAAACUGCUAAAAUUGCAGUUAAAGAUAUCAGUUCUGGUUCAUAUGCAACAAUUUUCAAUAACGAGGUAAAGUCGCGUUAGUGCUGACAUUUAAAUGUUAUUGAUUGUCAUAUAUGAUAAACAGCAUUUGCUAGGUUCAGGAGCUUUCCAUAACAUGUUAAAUUAUGUGACUUCAUUUCUCCAUUAGGUUUCAGGAUCUAAAUUAUGUGUAUUUUUUUGGUAUUGCAAAUAUGUGGUCUAUUACUUCUUUGAUGGUUGACGUACAGCUGAUUUUUGAUCCACGUUAAUCUGUUACCUUGAUUUACAUGCAGCCUCACCCAUUUAGUUUCACGUUUCAACACAUUUCCGCUGGAGUAUAGUUAUUGAUGCAGCACUUUUUGUUUUCUGCAAUUAAUCCUCGAAAAAUAUAAAUUGUUCCUAUAGAUGAGACGAAGGGUGAAGCAAUUCCCAUUGGCAUUCUACAAAGCAACUCCAUCCUCCAAAAAUAUGAAUUUACGAUGGGUGAAGCCAGUCACGAUGGGUGCAGCAAGCCCCUUUGGUAUUCUACAAAGCAACUCCAUCGUGUUUGUUCUUGGAAUCCGAAUUUCCUGGUUGGAUGUUCAAAUUGAAAAGCGCCAAUCAAUAGGGUACUAAGUACAACUGAGAACAAGAAUCAUAUAAACUGCAGCACAUAGAGAGCUCGAUAAAUGUAGUUUCUCCACUUAUUUAAGAUCCUAAAAGAUGAUAUUUUAUUGUUUUUUGGAUGAA